CCAGGCACGGUGAAUCCCAACUGUGGCGCCGCUCUGCCCCAACGCGGGGCCCUCAGAACGCCGCCCCGCCGCGAUGCACGACCCUUGGGGUGCCGGCUCGAUGCCCGCUGCGCUGCCGCGACCCGACGCCGUGGCCGUGAAGGGGGGAACGGGACGCUGCCCACGGCGGAGGUCUUGGAGACAACGAGGGCGGGCACGACAGCGGCUUCGGGACGAUGCUGAUGGAGUCGCUGAAUCGGCUACCUCUACUCCUGUACGAUGCCUCCCUCCGUCCGCCCCUCUCGCGGAUUCCUAACUCCCCGACCACCCCGUCACCGUCGACAGGGACAACAGGAACAAGGUGACGGUGUGCGCUGAUUCAUUGAGGAACAAUUGCUUCUAGGGGAGGACAUGCCGCUACUACCACACACCCCCGCAUAUCCAGAAUUGCUGAGUUGAAGAAUAAGGUCGAAAUGAUUCCAAUGGCUACAAGAGAUAGGAGAGGAGGUGGCAAGCAGCAUGGGUAGCUUCAUGAAGAUGAUGAGGCGACUUCACUAUUUUAGAUGCGAAGAACAUAGAGGGGCCAUGGACGUGAUGUUCAUUUGCACAGCAGGCUAGACCAUGGGUGGAGCGCGUGCUCAAGGAGCACCUACACAUCUGAAUGAAAGAAUGCACGCACACUGUGGCGGUGGUGGUGCCAUUUAUCACAAUAGAUGACAUAUGGUUACUAUAUUUUGGAUUGUUGUUCUUUAGAUUAAUCAGCACCGUACCCUUAUAAAAAUGGUAUCCUUCAGACUUGUCGAACUUGAAGUCAUGCCAACAUGUCGUUGAUGGAGAAAACCAAGGACACCAAACUAUCACAAUGAUGAAGGUGACAUGGUUGUCUUUGCAUGGUUGCGGGUGUCAAUUUUAAUUAUGCUUUGCUGGACUUUUUCAAAAACAAGCUCCCUACAAGCACGAGUCUGUAAAGGUAAGAUCGUGCCAAGCUUUAUACUCCAUUAUUGUUUAUUGACACAAUUGGCGGAUGCAUGGUUACAACAGAAUGGUACCGGGUUUCCUUUUCUGUCUUUUGUAUCAAAUAUUGAUGCCGCUAUGACUAUGCAUGUGUAGUCAUAUAAUGAAAAGUUGAUCUAGCUGGUAAAAGAGAAUUAGUAUGAUGAAAAACAUUAUUUUGUUUGGUCAUGCUAGAUGGGUUGGGUUGACUGUGCUUCAAUCUGUUAAAAGUUCCCUGAAUAUAUGUGAAUGGUUUCAGUUAAGUCAUCGUUGUUAUUCCCUGCUGAUACCUCAGGGUUGUUUCUGUUGUCACCCGGAUCGCCUCACCAUGAAGAGGGCUCUUGGGCUUCCUACUAUUCUGGAUGCAUACUAUGCAUGGCAAAUGAUGAUCAAGGUCUGUCCACAUGCCAACGGGUACUCUCAAGGUUUGUAAGGUGGCUGAAGAACGUCAAGACUGAAGGUGAAGAUGAGAGCCAAGCCUAAAGGUCACCCUUCUCUGGCUUUCAGCUCUCUAGGCUUGUCAGCUUCACAGCUCUUGAUGCAUGAAAACAAUGGCAGCUUCACAGCGGAUUAUAGGCUAUUAGUCUGUUUGGAAAUAUUUAUGCGAACACUUAAAAAUCAGAAUGCAUAUACUCCUGUUUUCUGAAAAUGUGUAGGUUAGUGGAGUGAGAUAUUUUUCUGAAUCUUUAAUUUGUCAAAUUCUUUAUUUGUGACCUCUACAUUGGUACAUCCAUAUUCAUACUAGGUCAAGACACAGACCUAUUUUUCGCAAUAUAAUAUGAUGAAAGUACAUCAUUUUAAACAUGCUACUAC